rnacentral:rRNA from 1 species
UACCAGCCCCCCGAGUGGUCGGGACGAUUAUUGGGCCUAAAGCAUCCGUAGCCGGUCCUACAAGUCUUCCGUUAAAUCCACCUGCUUAACAGAUGGGCUGCGGAAGAUACUAUAGGGCUAGGAGGCGGGAGAGGCAAGCGGUACUCAGUGGGUAGGGGUAAAAUCCUCUGAUCCAUUGAAGACCACCAGUGGCGAAGGCGGCUUGCCAGAACGCGCUCGACGGUGAGGGAUGAAAGCGGGGGGAGCAAACCGG